rnacentral:rRNA from 1 species
GACGAACGCUGGCGGCGUGCUUAACACAUGCAAGUCGAGCGGUAAGGCCCUUUCGGGGGUACACGAGCGGCGAACGGGUGAGUAACACGUGGGUGACCUGCCCUCAGCUCUGGGAUAAGCCUGGGAAACCGGGUCUAAUACUGGAUAUGACUCCAUGACGCAUGUUGUGGGGUGGAAAGCCUUGUGCGGCUGAGGAUGGGCCCGCGGCCUAUCAGCUCGUUGGUGGGGUGANGGCCUACCAAGGCGACGACGGGUAGCCGGCCUGAGAGGGCGACCGGCCACACUGGGACUGAGACACGGCCCAGACUCCUACGGGAGGCAGCAGUGGGGAAUCUUGCGCAAUGGGCGAAAGCCUGACGCAGCGACGCCGCGUGAGGGAUGACGGCCU